GACGAACGCUGGCGGCGUGCUUAACACAUGCAAGUCGAACGAUGAACCCGGAGCUUGCUCCGGUGGAUUAGUGGCGAACGGGUGAGUAACACGUGAGUAACCUGCCCUUGACUCUGGGAUAACUGCGGGAAACUGUAGCUAAUACCGGAUACGACCCUCGGCGGCAUCGCCAGGGGGUGGAAAGAAUUUCGGUCAAGGAUGGACUCGCGGCCUAUCAGCUAGUUGGUGAGGUAACGGCUAACCAAGGCGACGACGGGUAGCCGGCCUGAGAGGGGGACCGGCCCCACUGGGACUGAGACCAGGCCCGGACUCCUACGGGAGGCAGCAGUGGGGAAUAUUGCACAAUGGGCGCAAGCCUGAUGCAGCAACGCCGCGUGAGUGAUGAAGGCCUUCGGGUUGUAAAACUCUUUUAGCAGGGAAGAAGCGAAAGUGACGGUACCUGCAGAAAAAGCACCGGCUAACUACGUGCCAGCCGCCGCAGUAA
rnacentral:rRNA from 1 species